AUCCCAGCUAAACGGUUAUUGUUUAUCUGAUUCAUGGGAGGCAGAAAUUUUACAUGGUAAUUCGCUGAUAGUGCCUUUUCUCUUUAGAAGGUUGCUAAUAGUAUGUUAUCAGACAUAG